rnacentral:rRNA from 1 species
UACGAAGGGGGCUAGCGUUGCUCGGAAUCACUGGGCGUAAAGCGCACGUAGGCGGGUCCUUAAGUCAGGGGUGAAAUCCUGGAGCUCAACUCCAGAACUGCCCUUGAUACUGGCGAUCUCGAGUCCGGGAGAGGUGAGUGGAACUGCGAGUGUAGAGGUGAAAUUCGUAGAUAUUCGCAAGAACACCAGUGGCGAAGGCGGCUCACUGGCCCGGUACUGACGCUGAGGUGCGAAAGCGUGGGGAGCAAACAGG